rfam:Vibrio sp. MEBiC08052 genomic scaffold scaffold00002, whole genome shotgun sequence.
CAAAUAGAUGUCUAGGGUUCCGGCUGCCACGGCAGUGACUGGUCCGAGAGACGUCAACCUCAGCUGAGGUCACACGGAGGGACAAAAGCCCGGGAGGC